UCCAAUCUUUCUGCUAUGAAACUGCGGUUGUACACAAUCUAUUAGAAUUUACAGUUUCCUUUUCCGUUUCCUGAAAGAGAUGGUGUCGAAAGGACCCGCUUGCAGGUUGCCGAAAUGGUGUGGUAGGCUGCAGCUGCACCUUAAGCAGCCAUUUGUUAACAUCUUCAUGCACCACAUUUUAAAGCCGUAAAUCCAUAUACAGUUACUAUAAAUGAUAGAUCUGUUGUUUGCGGAGGCCAAGGGAUGUUUUCAUUCACCCAGUAGUGAAGGAUCCUUCAUAUAGAAUGAGCAGACACAUCUCCUGCUGCGAAUCAGGAAUGACCUCAUUUCCCUG
rnacentral:lncRNA from 1 species